rnacentral:rRNA from 1 species
AGAGUUUGAUCAUGGCUCAGGACGAACGCUGGCGGCGUGCCUAAUGCAUGCAAGUCGCACGCACGGAGCUUGCUCCGUGAGUGGCGCACGGCUGAGGAUCACGUGGGAACAUGCCUCCUUGUGGGGGGACAACACCGCGAAAGCGGUGCUAAUCCCGCAUACGCUCGUGUAAGCGAGGAAAGCGGCAACGCGCAGGGAGAGUGGCCCGCGGCCCAUCAGGUCGUUGGUGGGGUAAUGGCCUACCAAGCCGGUGACGGGUAGCUGGUCUGUGAGGACAGACAGCCAGACUGGGACUGAGACACGGCCCAGACUCCUACGGGAGGCAGCAGCAAGGAAUUUUCGUCAAUGGGCGCAAGCCUGAACGAGCAACGCCGCGUGGAGGAUGACGGCCUUCGGGUUGUAAACUCCUUUUUCGGGGGACGAUAAUGACGGUACCCCGGGAAUAAGGCUCGGCUAACUCUGUGCCAGCAGCCGCGGUAAUACAGAGGAGCCAAGCGUUGUCCGGAUUGACUGGGCGUAAAGCGCACGCAGGCGGAUGCGCGCGUGGGGUGUGAAAUCUGGCCGCUUAACGGCCAGGCGCCAUCCCAUACGGCGCGUCUGGAGUGAUGCAGAGGUCGAUGGAAUUGCCGGUGUAGUGGUGAAAUGCGUAGAGAUCGGCAGGAACACCCAGGGGGAAACCAGUCGACUGGGCAUCUACUGACGCUGAGGUGCGAGAGCGUGGGGAGCGAACCGGAUUAGAUACCCUAGUAGUCC